AGGGGUCUUUUGGUGAGAUUGUGAAGGCCUCUUGAUGUGGAACACCUGUAGCUAUGAAACGCAUUCUUCCUUCUCUUUCAGAUGAUAGAUUGGUGAUCCAGGAUUUCAGGCAUGAGGUGAAUUUGCUAGUGAAGCUGCGCCACCCCAAUAUUGUCCAAUUCCUUGGAGCAGUCACUGAUAAGAAGCCGCUGAUGUUGAUCACUGAGUAUCUACGAGGGGGUGAUCUUUACCAAUACCUCAAGCAAAGG